rnacentral:tRNA from 1 species
GCAAUGGUGGUUCAGUGGUAGAGUUUUUGCAUUCUGUACAGGAGACCUGGGUUUGAUUCCCAGCCAAUGCA